GACGAACCGUGCGAACGUUGUUCGGAAUCACUGGGCUUAAAGGGCGCGUAGGCGGGUGACCAAGUCCGGGGUGAAAUCCUCCAGCUCAACUGGAGAAGUGCCUCGGAUACUGGUUGUCUUGAGGAGGGUAGGGGCAUCUGGAACUAGCGGUGUAGCGGUGAAAUGCGUAGAUAUCGUAAGGAAGACCAGUGGCGAAGGCGGGUCUCUGGACAGUUCCUGACGCUGAGGCACGAAGGCCAGGGGAGCAAACGGG
rnacentral:rRNA from 1 species